rnacentral:rRNA from 1 species
CUACGGGGGGCAGCAGUAGGGAAUAUUGGACAAUGGGGGCAACCCUGAUCCAGCAAUGCCGCGUGAGUGAUGAAGGCCUUAGGGUUGUAAAGCUCUUUUACCCGGGAUGAUAAUGACAGUACCGGGAGAAUAAGCCCCGGCUAACUCCGUGCCAGCAGCCGCGGUAAUACGGAGGGGGCUAGCGUUGUUCGGAAUUACUGGGCGUAAAGCGCACGUAGGCGGCGAUUUAAGUCAGAGGUGAAAGCCCGGGGCUCAACCCCGGAACAGCCUUUGAGACUGGAUUGCUUGAACAUCGGAGAGGUGAGUGGAAUUCCGAGUGUAGAGGUGAAAUUCGUAGAUAUUCGGAAGAACACCAGUGGCGAAGGCGGCUCACUGGACGAUUGUGGACGGCCUGAG